GAUGAAGAACGUAGCGAAAUGCGAUAAGUAAUGUGAAUUGCAGAAUUCAGUGAAUCAUCGAAUCUUUGAACGCACAUUGCGCCCGCCAGUAUUCUGGCGGGCAUGCCUGUUCGAGCGUCAUUACAACCCUCAGGCCCCGGGCCUGGCGUUGGGGAUCGGCGGAGCCCCCCGUGGGCACACGCCGUCCCCCAAAUACAGUGGCGGUCCCGCCGCAGCUUCCAUCGCGUAGUAGCUAACACCUCGCGACUGGAGAGCGGCGCGGCCACGCCGUAAAACACCCAACUCUUCUGAAGUUGACCUCGAAUCAGGUAGGAAUACCCGCUGAACUUAAGCAUAUCAAUAAGCGGAGGA
rnacentral:misc_RNA from 1 species